AUCCCAUGGUUAGGGCAUUUUCUCAAUAAGUCCUUGAACCACUCCCAGGCUUCAUAAAGAGAUUCGUUGUCAUGUUGAAUGAAGUUGUUGAUUUCAGCUCUUAAUUU